UUGUGGUAGACGGGUGAGUAACGCNUAGGAACCUAUCUGGAGGUGGGGGAUCUUAUCAGGAAACUGGUGCUAAUACCGCAUGAUGCCUGAGGGCCAAAGGAGAGAUCCGCCAUUGGAGGGGCCUGCGUUCGAUUAGCUAGUUGGUUGGGUAAAGGCUGACCAAGGCGAUGAUCGAUAGCUGGUUUGAGAGGAUGAUCAGCCACACUGGGACUGAGACACGGCCCAGACUCCUACGGGAGGCAGCAGUGGGGAAUAUUGGACAAUGGGGGCAACCCUGAUCCAGCAAUGCCGCGUGUGUGAAGAAGGUCUUCGGAUUGUAAAGCACUUUCACUAGGGAAGAUGAUGACGGUACCUAGAGAAGAAGCCCCGGCUAACUUCGUGCCAGCAGCCGCGGUAAUACGAAGGGGGCUAGCGUUGCUCGGAAUGACUGGGCGUAAAGGGCGCGUAGGCUGUUUGUACAGUCAGAUGUGAAAUCCCCGGGCUUAACCUGGGAACUGCAUUUGAUACGUGCAGACUAGAGUCCGAGAGAGGGUUGUGGAAUUCCCAGUGUAGAGGUGAAAUUCGUA
rnacentral:rRNA from 1 species